AAAGUUUGAUCAUGGCUCAGGACGAACGCUGGCGGCGCGCCUAACACAUGCAAGUCGAACGGAGAUUACAGGCGGAAGUUUUCGGAUGGAAGCUUGUAAACUUAGUGGCGGACGGGUGAGUAACACGUGAGACAACCUGCCUAUCAGAGGGGGAUAACGAUUGGAAACGAUCGCUAAUACCGCAUGACAUAGCGGAAUCGCAUGGUUCUGUUAUCAAAGAUUUUAUCGCUGAUAGAUGGGCUCGCG
rnacentral:rRNA from 1 species